GCAUUAAUGGGGUAGUGGUAACCUGGGUCGUUGCCAUUCUUCGAUAAUGUUCGACCCGCCGGGGGUUCGAUUCCCCCUUAAUGCA